rnacentral:rRNA from 1 species
GACGAACGCUGGCGGCGUGCUUAACACAUGCAAGUCGAACGGAAAGGCCCUGCUUGCAGGGUACUCGAGUGGCGAACGGGUGAGUAACACUUGGGUGAUCUGCCCUGCACUUCGGGAUAAGCCUGGGAAACUGGGUCUAAUACCGGAUAGGAGCCAUUUUUAGUGUGAUGGUUGGAAAGUUUUUUCGGUGUAGGAUGAGCUCGCGGCCUAUCAGCUUGUUGGUGGGGUAAUGGCCUACCAAGGCGGCGACGGGUAGCCGGCCUGAGAGGGUGGACGGCCACAUUGGGACUGAGAUACGGCCCAGACUCCUACGGGAGGCAGCAGUGGGGAAUAUUGCACAAUGGGCGCAAGCCUGAUGCAGCGACGCCGCGUGGGGGAUGACGGCCUUCGGGUUGUAAACUCCUUUCGCUAGGGACGAAGCUUUUGUGACGGUACCUAGAUAAGAAGCACCGGCUAACUACAUG